CAGUCGAACGAGUUCUCGUUGAUGAUCGGUGCUUGCACCGAGAUUCAACCUGGAACGAGUGGCGGACGGGUGAGUAACACGUGGGUAACCUGCCCUUAAGUGGGGGAUAACAUUUGGAAACAGAUGCUAAUACCGCAUAGAUCCAAGAACCGCAUGGUUCUUGGCUGAAAGAUGGCGUAAGCUAUCGCUUUUGGAUGGACCCGCGGCGUAUUAGCUAGUUGGUGAGGUAAUGGCUCACCAAGGCGAUGAUACGUAGCCGAACUGAGAGGUUGAUCGGCCACAUUGGGACUGAGACACGGCCCAAACUCCUACGGGAGGCAGCAGUAGGGAAUCUUCCACAAUGGACGCAAGUCUGAUGGAGCAACGCCGCGUGAGUGAAGAAGGCUUUCGGGUCGUAAAACUCUGUUGUUGGAGAAGAAUGGUCGGCAGAGUAACUGUUGUCGGCGUGACGGUAUCCAACCAGAAAGCCACGGCUAACUACGUGCCAGCAGCCGCGGUAAUACGUAGGUGGCAAGCGUUAUCCGGAUUUAUUGGGCGUAAAGCGAGCGCAGGCGGUUUUUUAAGUCUGAUGUGAAAGCCCUCGGCUUAACCGAGGAAGCGCAUCGGAAACUGGGAAACUUGAGUGCAGAAGAGGACAGUGGAACUCCAUGUGUAGCGGUGAAAUGCGUAGAUAUAUGGAAGAACACCAGUGGCGAAGGCGGCUGUCUGGUCUGUAACUGACGCUGAGGCUCGAAAGCAUGGGUAGCGAACAGGAUUAGAUACCCUGGUAGUCCAUGCCGUAAACGAUGAAUGCUAGGUGUUGGAGGGUUUC
rnacentral:rRNA from 1 species